rnacentral:misc_RNA from 1 species
UCUUUUUCUGGGAAUUGCUGCUGGUUACGUUAGUGUGCGUGCUUGGAGAACAAUAAAGGGUACUUCGGAAAGUUGGAGAUCUGUUGCAUGGUCAACUGCAUGCUUCUUUCCUGGGAUUGUCUUUGUCAUCCUCACUGUGCUGAAUUUCAUCCUUUGGGGAAGCAAGAGCACUGGCGCACUCCCCAUCUCAUUAUAUUUCAUUCUCAUAUCACUUUGGUUCUGUAUUUCAGUGCCUCUCACCCUCGUGGGAGGAUAUUUGGGCACUCGAGCUGAGCCUAUUCAAUAUCCAGUGAGGACUAACCAGAUUCCUAGGGAGAUCCCUGCACG